rnacentral:tRNA from 1 species
GCUCUAUUAGUACUACAAUAGUAUGUUUGUUUUCCAAACAAAAGGUCUUAUAUAAAAUAGAUAGAGUA